CUCCGGGUAGUUCAGCGGCAGAAUGGCUGCGCGACAUGCAGCAGGUCGGCGGUUCGAUCCCGUCUCCGGAGACCA
rnacentral:tRNA from 1 species